rnacentral:lncRNA from 1 species
AUUCCAGGCUGUGGAUCCGGUCGUGGGAAGCAGGGCCGCACACAUACAGAGCUGAACUUGUAUCGCCGUGUAGAUGAAGACAAACACCUUUAGGAGAUGGCAGAGAAACAAAAUGGGAAACCCUCAGGUCUCCAAAUGACUACACCAAGCAGAAUUGCCCCACCAGCCUGCACCAUUCAUUUCUAGACUAUGAGCAAGAAGUACACUUCCAUCUUAUUUAAACAACCAUAUUUGGGGUUUUUGUUGUUGUUAUUGUUGUUGUUAUAGGAGCUUAGCUUUUACUCUAAGAAAUACAGCUACUCAACUCACUUCAUUAGGAUCUUAACUAUAAUAUCAAAACCUCCUAAGCACAGAAUAAAAAAUACAGUAGAGCAAUAUCAUUUAUGAUCAUAGAUGCAGAGCUUCCAAAUGAAAUACUAGCAUAUUCAAGGAAAGAUAUAUAUACCAUGACCUAGUUGUGUUUAAUUUCUGGAAUUCAAAAAUGGAAUGUUUGACAUAAGAAAAUCUAUUAGGCCGGGCGCGGUGGCUCACGCCUGUAAUCCCAGCACUUUGGGAGGCCGAGGCAGGCAGAUCACGAGGUCAGGAGAUCGAGAUCAUCCUGGCUAAUACGGUGAAACCCCGUUUCUACUAAAAAAUACAAAAAAAAAAUAUUAGCUGGGAGUGGUGGCGGGCGCCUGUAGUCCCAGCUACUUGGGAGGCUGAGGCAGGAGAAUGGCGUGAACCCGGGAGGCAGAGCUUACAGUGAGCUGAGAUCGUGCCACUGCACUCCAGCCUGGGUGACAGAGCGAGACUCUGUCUCAAAAAAAAAAAAAAAAAGAAAAAAGAAAACAGUUUGGCAGUUCCUCAAAAAGUUAAACAUAGGAUGUUUGAAAAUUUAAACGUAAUAUGACCUAGCAAUUCAACCCCAGGUAUACAACCAAGAGAAUUGAAAACAGGUGUUCAAACAAAAACUUGUACAGGAUUGCUCAUAGCAGCAUUAUUUAUAAUAGCCAAAAGGAAGAAACUACUCAAAUGUCCAUCAGCUGAUGAAUGGAUAAACAAAAUAUGGUGUAUUUCUACAAUGGACUAUUAUUCAAUCAUAAAAAAUGAAAUGCUGAUAAAUGCCAAAAUUGACGAACUUUUAAAACAUGCUAAGUGGCUGGGUGGGGUGGCUCUAGUCCGUAAUCCCGGCAUGUUAAGAGGCCGAGGUGGGCGGGUCACUUGAGCCUGGGAGGUCGAGGCUGCAGAGAGCUGAGAUCGCGCUACUGCACUCUAGCCUGGGUGACAGAGCAGACCCUGUCUCAGAAAGAAAAGAAAAAACAGAAAAGAGAAAGAAGACAGGAGAGGAGAGAAGGGGAGGGGAGGGGAGGGGAAUGGAGAGGGGGAGGGGAGGGGAGGGGAAGGGGGAGGGAAGGGGAGGGGAGGGGAACAUCCUGGCCGGGUGCAGUGGCUCACGCCUGUAAUCCUAGCACUUUGGGAGGCCAAGGUGGGCGGAUUGCCUGAGCUCAGGAGUUCGAGACCAGCCUGGGCAACACGGUGAAACCCCGUCUCUACUAAAAUACAAAAAAAUUAGUUGGGCGUGGCGAUGUAUACCUGUAGUCCCAGCUACUCAGGAUGCUGAGGCAGAAGAAUUGCUUGAACCCAGGAGGUUGAGGUUGCAGUGACGCGAGAUUGCACCACUGCACUCCAGCCUGGGUGACAGAGUGAGACUCUCUCCCAAAAAAAAAAAAAAAGAAAAGAAAAGAAAAGAACAU